rnacentral:rRNA from 1 species
UACGUAGGUGGCGAGCGUUGUCCGGAUUUACUGGGCGUAAAGGGCGUGCAGGCGGUUUGUUAAGUGCAGGGUGAAAGCUCCCGGCUCAACUGGGAGAGGUCCUUGCAUACUGGCGAACUCGAGGGAGGCAGAGGAAAGUGGAAUUCCCGGUGUAGUGGUGAUAUGCGUAGAUAUCGGGAGGAACACCUGUGGCGAAGGCGGCUUUCUGGGCCUUACCUGACGCUGAGACGCGAAAGCGUGGGGAGCGAACCGGG